GACGAACGCUGGCGGUGUGCUUCACACAUGCAAGUCGAACGAGGUAGCAAUACCUAGUGGCGGACGGGUGAGUAACGCGUGGGAAUCUGCCUUUAGAUGGGGGGAUAACGGGUCGAAAGACUCGCUAAUACCGCAUAUGACGAAAGUUGAAAGGAGUAAUCCGUCUAAAGAUGAGCCCGCGUCCGAUUAGCUAGUUGGUAGAGUAAAAGCCUACCAAGGCGACGAUCGGUAGCUGGUCUGAGAGGAUGAUCAGCCACAAUGGACUAGAGACACGGCCCAUACUCCUACGGAGGCAGCAGUGGGAAUUUACGCAAUGGCGAAAGCCUGACGUAGCGACACCGCGUGAGCGAAGAAGACCCCUGGGUGUAAAGCUCUGUCAGCUGGACGAAAAAAUGA
rnacentral:rRNA from 1 species